rnacentral:lncRNA from 1 species
GGGUGAUUGUUUUAGUUUUAUGCUCAGGUUUUUGCAAACCUUAUUCUGAUUCUCUCUGACUUUAAUAGGAAGGGACUUCAGCUGGCAAUAGGCAAUGUCGGGAUUCUUUCAAGGUUGAAUCUGUCUGAACAGGACAAGGAGAAGAAGACAAGAGUAGCGUCUCUCGAACACAACUAUCAGUGCCUUUUCUUCCAGAUUUGGGUUCCACUCCUGCCAUCAUCCUUUCUCUGGAUGAGAAUUUCUCUGUGUCGCUACCAGAGGAUGAGAUGCAUGCGGUUGUUCAGUGCAUUCACCUGUGUUGCGCCGAGGCCAAAAUCAAAUCAGCUUUUGUCAAAAAAGAAGUUCUCCUUAGAAUAUGGGAAGUGCUGUGUGCCUUUAAAAAAGGAAAUCUACGACUGA